AGCUUUGCGCAGUGGCAGUAUCGUAGCCAAUGAGGUUAAUCCAAGGCGCGAUUAUUGCUAAUUGAAAACAUACAGUUAAAACAAUACAACACCUGCCCCAGUUAACAGUUUGGCUGCAGCUUUUUGAACCAGAUAGUUUAUAAACAAUCU